rnacentral:rRNA from 1 species
CUGGCUCAGAACGAACGCUGGCGGCGCGUUUAAGCAUGCAAGUCGAGCGGCAAGGGCCUUCGGGCCCCUAGAGCGGCGGACGGGUGAGUAACACGUGGACAAUCUGCCCCCCGGCCCGGGAUAGCCCAGGGAAACCUGGAUUAAUACCGGAUGAGACGGGACCCGCGAUGGCGGGAUCCGGGAAAGGCGCUGCGGCGCCGCCGGGGGAUGAGUCUGCGUCCCAUUAGCUAGACGGCGGGGUAACGGCCCACCGUGGCGACGAUGGGUAGCCGGCCUGAGAGGGUGGACGGCCACAUUGGAACUGAGACACGGUCCGGACUCCUACGGGAGGCAGCAGCUAAGAAUCUUCCGCAAUGGGCGAAAGCCUGACGGAGCCGACGCCGCGUGAACGAAGAAGGCCGUGAGGUUGUAAAGUUCUUUUCGGGAGGGGGAACAACCGUGGCAGGGAAUGGCCGCGGGAUGACGUGAAUCCCGGAAUAAGCCCCGGCUAACUACGUGCCAGCAGCCGC